rnacentral:lncRNA from 1 species
CAGGAUUAGUAUGUGCAUAGACACAGAAUAAUGUGCAGACACACAAAUCACUGCUUUCCUAUGGACUUCUUCUUCUGGCACUGAUUUUGUUGCUGUUGUUGGACACAUGCAUUAUAAAUUAAAGACAGAAAAGGCCUCUCUGCAUUUGAUCUUGUAUGCUGAAUACUGAGAAAGAUACUUCUGCAUGAAACAGGAUUUCUAUUGAACAUUCGUGGAAAAAUGCUGUAUGCAUCACGCCCGGUUCAAGGAGAAAGUGAUGUUCUAAACAGAUGACACCCAGUUCCUGGUGCAAAGGGUACUCCUCUGACUGAAAGAUAUCAGCUGAAAGGAAAUAAUUCAUCCUGGAUGACAAAAUGGUUUAUAAAUUGCAUCCUAAUAAAACAUUGCUCCAAACUCACAAAUUGCAGAGAUUGAAGUGACCCUGUAUGCACAGUGAUUUGCAUGAUAUUCAUUGUGUUAAGGUUGAAAACAACAUUAACAUCUUUACUUUAAAACGAACAGAUUUAUUCUAAAUUGCACUAAUAAAAUGUAUUGUUAGCAAACAAAGGUCAGUGGAAACCAUAGCACACAGAAUAUGCAGAAAAAUAACAGAGUUUGAGAAAGAAAAAGAUCAAAUCUACUGGCAUAGCACAAGUGGCUCAUCAGAACAUCAUUCUAACAAAUGAAAUCUAAACAAAUGAAAUUAUAUAACCAAAAGCAUAGUCAUCUAUUAUGCUCAGUAUUAAAGCAAAACAGUACUUAAGGAAAGCGAUGCAGAACAAAAUUAUAUUAGUUUCCUGGAUCACCUUCAAUGAUAUGAAAUUUAAAUUAUGAUGUUUCUGUGCUCAUCCUCUUGUCUUCUUGCAAAUUUUAAACCUGUAAUUUGAAUGCAAAAAUUCUACCAAAUUAAAAUACAAUUGCUACCUCUUCUUUACAGCAUGAUCAUCUAAUUCUGAUGCCUUUGCAUCUUAUUUUGUUGUUUUUAGAACUGACCUGCAAUGUUAAUAAUUCAAGAAAGACUGAGACUCCAAGGCAUUUUGUUAUGACACAGCUUUGGUCUUAGCUAUUGCAUCCAGAAUUUGUAAUAGAUUUUUAAGCCUCUGUGUCGUAAGGAAAAUAUGACCCUCUCACCAAUUAAAACACACACACACACUCUCAGAAUCACACAAAUAGACAAGGAGUCAAAGACAACAUAUGAUUCUAUGAAUAAUAAGUUAAAUAUUCUGGAUAUUUACAUAUUUACAGCCAUAUACAUACAGUUAAAACUGCUCUCUAUAAGGAAUCCUAAACUGUCCCUAAAAAUAUCAUCCAAAGAUACCAUCAACAGCACAUUUAUCAAAUGAAGAUAUUUUGUGCAGAUUAUCUGGAUGUACAAAGUUCUUGUAGCUAGUAUACUGAAUAAAUGAACUUUCGGGGGGGGGGGGGGGAGGACAUUCAGUGAGCCAGUUUUUCCUCUACCGGUGAAGCAGUAAAAAGCUAGAUGGCUGUUUUUCUCUGUCUGUCUCAAAUGUAUUUAUCCUACUCUUGCACUUAUGUAAACAUCCUGCAUAUUAAUGUUUACUUUUAAACACAGUCCUUAAAAAGGCUUGAUUUAAGUACCCAACAUAAGCUUGCAUUGCACACUCGUGGAGAAAAGAAUAGAGUGAAAACAGAACACGUAAGGAAGUCAAUGCAUGAACAGUCUACAAAACGCACUGUAAAAUCAGAGAUACAGUGGCAUUUUGAAAAUAGUAGAUCUCUGUUAGGGUAAUCAAUUUAAACUCAAUGAUAAUCAUAUAAAAUAUGUGUGAAAGACAAAACUGCUUUUCUCUUUUGUCUCAAAGCUUGCUUCGUGAGGCCUUUCUGGUGAUAAGACUAACUGAUAACUGCAAAUUAUCUAGGGGGGCGAGUGGUGGGUGUCACUGUGCCACAGUACUUCUGCUCAUGAUUGUAAAGAUAAGCAGAAGUGGGACAAGCAGUCUUUUUUG